rnacentral:rRNA from 1 species
AACUAACGCUGGCGGCGUGCCUAACACAUGCAAGUCGAACGAGAAAGUUGGCUUCGGCCGAUGAGUAAAGUGGCGCACGGGUGAGUAACGCGUGGAUAAUCUGCCCUUUAGUUUGGAAUAACGUACCGAAAGGUGCGCUAAUACCGGAUAAUACUGAAUGACUACUGUCGUUUAGUCAAAGAAGGCUUCUGUUUACAUGCUUUUGCUGAAGGAUGAGUCCGCGUACCAUUAGCUAGUUGGUAGGGUAAUGGCCUACCAAGGCGACGAUGGUUAGCUGGUCUGAGAGGAUGAUCAGCCACACUGGAACUGAGACACGGUCCAGACUCCUACGGGAGGCAGCAGUGAGGAAUAUUGCGCAAUGGGGGCAACCCUGACGCAGCAACGCCGCGUGAGUGAGGAAGGUUUUCGGACCGUAAAGCUCUGUCGAGCGGGAAGAAAUGCAUGGUGGCUAAUAUCCAUCAUGCUUGACGGUACCGCUAAAGGAAGCACC